CGGCGCGGGUGCUCUGAGCGCCAGCCGUCAUAAAAAAGGCCCUCGCGCAAUUGCGCGAGGGCCUUU
rnacentral:sRNA from 1 species